rnacentral:rRNA from 1 species
UACGUAGGGGGCAAGCGUUGUCCGGAUUUAUUGGGCGUAAAGAGCGUGUAGGCGGCUUUACAGGUCCGUUGUGAAAACUCGAGGCUCAACCUCGAGACGCCGGUGGAAACCGUAAGGCUAGAGUCCGGAAGAGGAGAGUGGAAUUCCUGGUGUAGCGGUGAAAUGCGCAGAUAUCAGGAAGAACACCCGUGGCGAAGGCGGCUCGCUGGGACGGUACUGACGCUGAGACGCGAAAGCGUGGGGAGCGAACAGG